UUGACCUCAAAUCAGGUAGGACUACCCGCUGAACUUAAGCAUAUCAAUAAGCGGAGGAAAAGAAACUAACAAGGAUUCCCCUAGUAACUGCGAGUGAAGCGGGAAAAGCUCAAAUUUAAAAUCUGUUGGCCAUUGGUCAUCCGAGUUGUAAUCUAGAGAAGUGUUACCUGUGCUGGACCGUGUACAAGUCUUCUGGAAUGGAGCAUCACAGAGGGUGAGAAUCCCGUCUUUGACAUGGACUACCAGUGCUUUUGUGGUAUGCUCUCAAAGAGUCGAGUUGUUUGGGAAUGCAGCUCAAAAUGGGUGGUAAAUGCCAUCUAAAGCUAAAUAUUGGCGAGAGACCGAUAGCGAACAAGUACCGUGAGGGAAAGAUGAAAAGAACUUUGGAAAGAGAGUUAAACAGUACGUGAAAUUGCUGAAAGGGAAACGCUUGAAGUCAGUCUCGUUGACUUGAAAUCAACCCUGUUUCUGCUGGGUGUAUUUUCUUGUCAAUGGGUCAGCAUCAAUUUUGGCCGUUGGAUAAAGUUGUUGGGAAUGUGGCAUCCUUGGAUGUGUUAUAGCCUAAUGAUGCAUACAGCGGUUGGGAUUGAGGAACUCAGCACACCACAAUGGCCGGGUUUUGACCACGUCUGUGCUUAGGAUGCUGGCAUAAUGGCUUUAAUCGACCCGUCUUGAAACACGGACCAAGGAGUCUAACAUGCCUGCAAGUGUUUGGGUGGAAAACCCAUGCGCGUAAUGAAAGUGAAAGUUGAGAUCCCUUUUGGGAGCAUCGACGCCCG
rnacentral:rRNA from 1 species